rnacentral:rRNA from 1 species
GUCCACGCCCUAAACCAUGUCAACUGGGUGUUCGGGAAGCGAUUUCUGAGUACCGUAGCUAACGCGUGAAGUUGACCGCCUGGGGAGUACGGCCGCAAGGUUAAAACUCAAAGGAAUUGACGGGGACCCGCACAAGCGGUGGAUGAUGUGGAUUAAUUCGAUGCAACGCGAACAACCUUACCUACCCUUGACAUGUCCGGAAGGCCCCUGAGAGGGGGUUGUGCCCGAAAGGGAACCGGAACACAGUGCUGCAUGGCUGUCGU